rnacentral:rRNA from 1 species
UUACGGUCAAAUCACGCUGAAAACACCGGUUCUCGUUCGAUCACCGAAUUAAGCAUCGUAGAGCCAGGUCAGUACUUAGAUGGGGACCGCUUAAACACCUGGUACUGUAAG